rnacentral:tRNA from 1 species
AUGGCUCAACUGGUAGAGCACUUGCCUAGCAUGCAGGAGGUCCUGAGUUCAACCCCAGU